AGAGUUUGAUCCUGGCUCAGAUUGAACGCUGGCGGCAGGCCUGAUACAUGCAAGUCGAACGGUAACUGGAGAAAAGCUUGCUUUUCUUGCAGACGAGUGGCGGACGGGUGAGUAAUAUUUGGGAAGCUACCUGAUAGAGGGGGACAACAGUUGGAAACGACUGCUAAUACCGCAUAUAGCCUGAGGGUGAAAGCAGCAAUGCGCUAUCAGAUGCGCCCAAACGGGAUUAGCUAGUAGGUGAGGUAAAGGCUCACCUAGGCGACGAUCCAUAGCCGGCCUGAGAGGGUGAACGGCCACAUUGGGACUGAGACACGGCCCACACUCCUACGGGAGGCAGCAGUGGGGAAUAUUGCACAAUGGGGGAAACCCUGAUGCAGCGACGCCGCGUGAAGGAAGAAGUAUCUCGGUAUGUAAACUUCUAUCAGCAGGGAAGAUGAUGACGGUACCUGACUAAGAAGCCCCGGCUAACUACGUGCCAGCAGCCGCGGUAAUACGUAGGGGGCAAGCGUUAUCCGGAUUUACUGGGUGUAAAGGGAGCGUAGACGGCGUAUCAAGUCUGAUGUGAAAGGCAUGGGCUCAACCCGUGGACUGCAUUGGAAACUGGUAUGCUUGAGUGCCGGAGGGGUAAGCGGAAUUCCUAGUGUAGCGGUGAAAUGCGUAAAUAUUAGGAGGAACACCGGUGGCGGAAGGCGGCUUACUGGACGGUUAACUGACGUUGAGGCUCGAAAGGCGUGGGGAACAAACGGGAAUUAGAUACCC
rnacentral:rRNA from 1 species